GACAUUUCCUAAUAUUGAAAUAGUUACAGUGGAACUGUUAUCCUGGAUGCAGGAGCUACAUUUGACCCAGAGUGACAAGGUGCUGUGGACCCACAUCCGCUACACAGGUGAAAGCACGGAAGGAGCAGCCGUGAACCUGACCGCGGAGUUCGGGCCCAUC